rnacentral:sRNA from 1 species
UGCAUGCACUUAUCGGGAAGGGUGAGAACCUUCGAUUAAGGUUCGACUCGAGCGAAGGCGAGAGAACGUUGCCAGAGGCAACGGCCCGAAGGGUGAGGAACGAAGUGACGAAUAAUCCUUCCCCCACCACCA